rnacentral:lncRNA from 1 species
AUUUAUGAAGCAGCCAGAAUCGAACCAGCGUCUGUACCAUGGCAGGGUACUAUACAUUUACGGUGGCUCAAUUACUUUGGGUUGCAUGCAUAUCCAUAGUAGCAUCCAAAAUACUUAUAAAAGGCAGCAGCCGCUAGGGCCAUAGGAUUCAUCAUCUAUACGUAUUUUUUGUCGCUGAGAUGGCCCAAUGUAUGGAUGCUGUUACCUGUAUAGAUAAAGAAAAACAACUCAGAACUAAUUGGAAGAGGGUGAGUUUUACUAUCAUAUAUGGAUCUUUACUUGUCUGUGUUAUUGCAAUUUUGACGAAAAACCCUAUUUUAGUUGCAAAGUUUAAGCCUAAACCUGGAGAAAAGCUUGUCAAGGCAAACUAUGGUGUUGAUUUAUCAGAUGUUUCAACUUAAGAUUGUGAAUUUGCCUCGAUCCAAGGAAGAAGGAAAUACCAGGAGGAUCGAGUAACAUGCAACCUUGAUCUUAGUAUUCCUUUCUUUAGACCCAAUGAUGGCGGCCUUGAUGUGGU